rnacentral:rRNA from 1 species
GACAGAGGGGGCAAGCGUUGCUCGGAAUUACUGGGCGUAAAGGGCGCGUAGGCGGGAUGGCAAGUCGGUCGUGAAAUCCCUCGGCUCAACUGAGGAGCGUCGAUCGAAACUGCCGUUCUUGAGGGUUGCAGAGGAGACUGGAAUUCCCGGUGUAGCGGUGGAAUGUGUAGAGAUCGGGAGGAACACCGGUGGCGAAGGCGGGUCUCUGGGCAACUCCUGACGCUGAGGCGCGAAAGCGUGGGGAGCGAACAGG